GACGAACGCUGGCGGCGUGCUUAACACAUGCAAGUCGAACGGAAGGGCCUGCUUUCCCUUGUGGAUUGCGGGUACUCGCGUGGCGAACGGGUGAGUAACACGUGAGUGAUCUGCCCCCAACUUGGGUAUAAGCCUGGGAAACUGGGUCUAAUUCCCGAUAGGACUGCAGGGUGGUGCCUGUGGUGGAAAACGAUUUUCUAGUGGUUGGGGAUGAGCUCGCGGCCUAUCAGCUUGUUGGUGGGGUAAUGGCCUACCAAGGCGGCGACGGGUAGCCGGCCUGGGAGGGUGGACGGCCACAUUGGGACUGAGAUACGGCCCAGACUCCUACGGGAGGCAGCAGUGGGGAAUAUUGCACAAUGGGCGGAAGCCUGAUGCAGCGACGCCGCGUGGGGGAUGACGGCCUUCGGGUUGUAAACUCCUUUCGACCGCGAGGAAGCCACCUGGUUGGAAGGGUGGUGACGGUAGUGGUAGAAGAAGCACCGGCUAACUACGUG
rnacentral:rRNA from 1 species